rnacentral:lncRNA from 1 species
CAGCUUUGAAAAGAAACACUUUAUUUUAAAGCAGAAAACUAGAUUAGAUAAUUGCUUUUGCAGCUAGAAACACAGUCCUGUCAGUUCGUCUAAUCCAGUUCUUUGGCACUCAUGCAGGACAGCUUUCCACACGGCAUAACGCACGGCUGCCUCUGCCAGACAUACCAGCCUGGGCUGCUGCGCUUUCUCAGUACAGCUCAUGAAUGAGUGCUGGGCCUGGCAUUCUCAUCUUUCUGUGAGCAACCUGGCACGCAUCUCCAUGUAAUGCUCCACUGGAACAUGGAAAAGUGUCCUACAGGAGUUCAGUUUGGAAAGGUCAUCCUAUAUUUUAUAGUGUCCCUUUUAUAAAAUAGCCUGAAAGAGAAGUGGUGUUUAAGUGCAUUUAACUAGCUAACACAGCAGGCAUGCAGAACAUAAGCUGUCCAAUCAACUAUGAAACAAAUGCUAGAAUUAAUUGCUUAAUUCUCUUUGCAUUAGGAUAAAGCAUACGGUUUUAAAAUGUCUUCAGUGAAAAACUGCUGAAUUUGGGAAACCUACUAUUGCCUUGCACUAAAUUGAAAAGCAAGGUCAAGUGUAAAGAUUGGUGGGGUGAUAGCCAAAGGCAAGCUGACCUGCAACUUAUUUUGUGAGACAAUCUAGUUUUAAGGUUUGUGUGUACAUGUUUGACAGUAAGCACAUUAAAUAAUUAGUAUCUCUGGAAACCCAGGUUUUGUUCAACUUUGUGGUUAUUCAACUAUGGAAAAAAAUCCAGAGAUACUUCUUACCCAGCAGCCAAUAGGUGACUGCCAAAAGUUUCACUGUAUCAAGGAAUAACAGGCUGCAAGCUGAGGGAUCAUCAUCUGUUCUAGCCUGUUUUCUACAGGGCUGCUGCAACGAUGAUUUGUCCUACAUGUGCAUGUGGACUAACGCUGCCUUUGAACAGAAUCCUGAGUGUUCACAGAUGUAGGAAUUGGCCUCCUUAAUUUUCAGGUAGGGUGGGUGUGUCUGCCUGUGUGUUUUCUGGAUGUCAGAGAACAGCGUGAAACAUGCUCCGCUUUCAAGCCGACAGCACGAUAGGAAGGUGAGACUUUUUGGCAGGGUCAGUGCCUGUCUCCCCAUGGAGGUAACCUGCACAAGCCCGGCAUGUAUGGCUGACCUCUCUGUGUUUGGUUCUACCAGGACAGCCUCCAUUUGGCCAGGCAGUAAUACACCACCUGCCCAGCACAACGUGAAGCCAGUGAAAUGACAAGCAAGUGGAAAGCUUGCAUGUGUACCAGCUACAGGGAGGUACAGGUGCUUGGCAAGAUCAAGACUUUGAUCCUGUUCACACCAGCAUGCGUAAAUUCGCACAUCAAGUGCUUUCCAUAGGAACACUCAUACAUGUUUUACCUAACUGAAGGGCACUGCACCAUCUGAUGCCCUGUUUUUUAUAAUACAGCAGCUGCAGUGUUUCGUAAGAAUUGGGAUAGAGACCACAAGUUGAUUUGAACUGCAGUGGGAAGUACGCUCUGAUAGCUCCAGCAGCUUUCAGGAGUAAUGCCUCAUUCUUACCAAACUUACCCACUUCCUUGUUGCUGGAACAGUUGAGCUUCAGUCCCAUGUUUCUAAUCCCCCUGCCUGCCUAGUGCAAAGGACCAAACUUACUUAAUAGUACUCCUAACCUCAAAGUAACCAGCACAAACAAAUGGCAGGAUCCAAGCACACACUCUAUCCAGAAACUGUAGGAAGCCUACAGGGAAAGACCUCCUUUAUUUCAACAUUUUAAUGAAAUAUAGUAAUUUCUCUAUAUGAACACACACUUAUUUUUGCUGGCAGCUGCAUCUAAAAGUUCACAAAACA